rnacentral:rRNA from 1 species
CAGCAGCCGCGGGAAUACAGAGGGUGCGAGCGUUAAUCGGAUUUACUGGGCGUAAAGCGUGCGUAGGCGGCUUCUUAAGUCGGAUGUGAAAUCCCUGAGCUUAACUUGGGAAUUGCAUUCGAUACUGGUUAGCUAGAGUGUGGGAGAGGAUGGUAGAAUUCCAGGUGUAGCGGUGAAAUGCGUAGAGAUCUGGAGGAAUACCGAUGGCGAAGGCAGCCAUCUGGCCUAACACUGACGCUGAGGUACGAAAGCAUGGGGAGCAAACAGGAUUAGAUACCCCCGUAGUCCCUGUCCUUAUACA